rnacentral:pre_miRNA from 1 species
UAGAUUUUUCUAGAUACGGAUGUAUCAAGUCACAUUUUAGUAUUAGAUACAUCCGUAUCUAGACAAAUCUAAGACAAGAAAUUUGGAACAGAGGGAGUAGUUG